GCUUGCUAUUUUUAUGAAGAGCGGCGAACGGGUGAGUAACGCGUGGGAAAUCUGCCGAGUAGCGGGGGACAACGUUUGGAAACGAACGCUAAUACCGCAUAACAAUGAGAAUCGCAUGAUUCUUAUUUAAAAGAAGCAAUUGCUUCACUACUUGAUGAUCCCGCGUUGUAUUAGCUAGUUGGUAGUGUAAAGGACUACCAAGGCGAUGAUACAUAGCCGACCUGAGAGGGUGAUCGGCCACACUGGGACUGAGACACGGCCCAGACUCCUACGGGAGGCAGCAGUAGGGAAUCUUCGGCAAUGGGGGCAACCCUGACCGAGCAACGCCGCGUGAGUGAAGAAGGUUUUCGGAUCGUAAAACUCUGUUGUUAGAGAAGAACGUUAAGUAGAGUGGAAAAUUACUUAAGUGACGGUAUCUAACCAGAAAGGGACGGCUAACUACGUGCCAGCAGCCCGCGGUAAUACGUAGGUCCCAAGCGUUGUCCGGAUUUAUUGGGCGU
rnacentral:rRNA from 1 species